AUUGAACGCUGGCGGCAGGCCUAACACAUGCAAGUCGAGCGGAUGAAGAGAGCUUGCUCUCUGAUUCAGCGGCGGACGGGUGAGUAAUGCCUAGGAAUCUGCCUGGUAGUGGGGGACAACGUUUCGAAAGGAACGCUAAUACCGCAUACGUCCUACGGGAGAAAGCAGGGGACCUUCGGGCCUUGCGCUAUCAGAUGAGACUAGGUCGGAUUAGCUAGUAGGUGGGGUAAUGGCCCACCUAGGCGACGAUCCGUAACUGGUCUGAGAGGAUGAUCAGUCACACUGGAACUGAGACACGGUCCAGACUCCUACGGGAGGCAGCAGUGGGGAAUAUUGGACAAUGGGCGAAAGCCUGAUCCAGCCAUGCCGCGUGUGUGAAGAAGGUCUUCGGAUUGUAAAGCACUUUAAGUUGGGAGGAAGGGCAGUAAGUUAAUACCUUGCUGUUUUGACGUUACCAACAGAAUAAGCACCGGCUAACUUCGUGCCAGCCGCCGCCGUAAAAC
rnacentral:rRNA from 1 species